rnacentral:rRNA from 1 species
AGUCGGGACCUAAGGAGAGACCGAAAGGUGUAUCCGAUGGACAACAGGUUGAUAUUCCUGUACUAGAGUAUGUAGUGAUGGAGGGACGCAGUAGGCUAACUAAAGCAGACGAUUGGAAGAGUCUGUCUAAGCAGUGAGGUGUGAAUUGAGUCAAAUGCUUAAUUCUAUAACAUUGAGCUGUGAUGGGGAGCGAAGUUUAGUAGCGAAGUUAGUGACGUCACACUGCCAAGAAAAGCUUCUAGCGUUUAAACAUACUCUACCCGUACCGCAAACCGACACAGGUAGUCGAGGCGAGUAGCCUCAGGUGAGCGAGAGAACUCUCGUUAAGGAACUCGGCAAAAUGACCCCGUAACUUCGGGAGAAGGGGUGCUGACUUUAAGUCAGCCGCAGUGAAUAGGCCCAAGCAACUGUUUAUCAAAAACACAGCUCUCUGCUAAAUCGUAAGAUGAUGUAUAGGGGGUGACGCCUGCCCGGUGCUGGAAGGUUAAGAGGAGUGCUUAGCGUAAGCGAAGGUAUGAAUUGAAGCCCCAGUAAACGGCGGCCGUAACUAUAACGGUCCUAAGGUAGCGAAAUUCCUUGUCGGGUAAGUUCCGACCCGCACGAAAGGCGUAAUGAUUUGGGCACUGUCUCAACGAGAGACUCGGUGAAAUUUUAGUACCUGUGAAGAUGCAGGUUACCCGCGACAGGACGGAAAGACCCCAUGGAGCUUUACUGCAGUUUGAUAUUGAGUGUCUGUACCACAUGUACAGGAUAGGUAGGAGUCUAAGAGAUCGGGACGCCAGUUUCGAAGGAGACGCUGUUGGGA